rnacentral:tRNA from 1 species
GCCCCCGUAGCUCAAAGGAUAGAGCAACGGUCUACUAAACCGAUGGUUUCGAGUUCGAGUCUCGGCGGGGGCA